rnacentral:rRNA from 1 species
UGCGGAAGGAUCAUUAAUAAAAGGAUACCUUCGGGUAUACCCCAUCCGUGCCUACAUACUCUUGUUGCUUUGGCAGGCCGUGGUCUCCCACUGUGGGCUCUGCCUGCAUGUGCCUGCCAGAGGACCAAACUCUGAAUGUUAGUGAUGUCUGAGUACUAUAUAAUAGUUAAAACUUUCAACAACGGAUCUCUUGGUUCUGGCAUCGAUGAAGAACGCAGCGAAAUGCGAUAAGUAAUGUGAAUUGCAGAAUUCAGUGAAUCAUCGAAUCUUUGAACGCACAUUGCACCCGGUGGUAUUCCGCCGGGUAUGCCUGUUCGAGCGUCAUUAUAACCACUCAAGCCUGUCUUGGUGUUGGGGAUUGCGAAUCUUGCAGCCCUAGAGUCCAGUAGCGUCACCUGUAGGUCCUAAGCGUAGUAAUUUCUCCUCGCUACAGAGCCUGCCGGUGGAUAGUGUAAAUCCAGUUAAGUCUGUGUGUCCUGCUA